CUGAGAGGCUUCGGCCGAUCUCUAACCCAUGUUUAUCUUCCAUGUUGCCUCGGCAGAUCGCUUUUGCCGCUAGUUUGCCAGCGAGUAUCUGCCGAUGGAUUUUUUCAAACAGUUUGAAAGUUUUCUGAAAUUAUACAAAUUUUA
rnacentral:misc_RNA from 1 species